rnacentral:rRNA from 1 species
GGUGCUUGCAUCAUGAUUUACAUUUGAGUGAGUGGCGAACUGGUGAGUAACACGUGGGAAACCUGCCCAGAAGCGGGGGAUAACACCUGGAAACAGAUGCUAAUACCGCAUAACAACUUGGACCGCAUGGUCCGAGUUUGAAAGAUGGCUUCGGCUAUCACUUUUGGAUGGUCCCGCGGCGUAUUAGCUAGAUGGUGGGGUAACGGCUCACCAUGGCAAUGAUACGUAGCCGACCUGAGAGGGUAAUCGGCCACAUUGGGACUGAGACACGGCCCAAACUCCUACGGGAGGCAGCAGUAGGGAAUCUUCCACAAUGGACGAAAGUCUGAUGGAGCAACGCCGCGUGAGUGAAGAAGGGUUUCGGCUCGUAAAACUCUGUUGUUAAAGAAGAACAUAUCUGAGAGUAACUGUUCAGGUAUUGACGGUAUUUAACCAGAAAGCCACGGCUAACUACGUGCCAGCAGCCGCGGUAAUACGUAGGUGGCAAGCGUUGUCCGGAUUUAUUGGGCGUAAAGCGAGCGCAGGCGGUUUUUUAAGUCUGAUGUGAAAGCCUUCGGCUCAACCGAAGAAGUGCAUCGGAAACUGGGAAACUUGAGUGCAGAAGAGGACAGUGGAACUCCAUGUGUAGCGGUGAAAUGCGUAGAUAUAUGGAAGAACACCAGUGGCGAAGGCGGCUGUCUGGUCUGUAACUGACGCUGAGGCUCGAAAGUAUGGGUAGCAAACAGGAUUAGAUACCCUGGUAGUCCAUACCGUAAACGAUGAAUGCUAAGUGUUGGAGGGUUUCCGCCCUUCAGUGCUGCAGCUAACGCAUUAAGCAUUCCGCCUGGGGAGUACGGCCGCAAGGCUGAAACUCAAAGGAAUUGACGGGGGCCCGCACAAGCGGUGGAGCAUGUGGUUUAAUUCGAAGCUACGCGAAGAACCUUACCAGGUCUUGACAUACUAUGCAAA